CUUUCCCUCUUUCUUCCGGCCUCCCCCCUGCACGUCGAGCGGAUGAAGGGAGCUUGCUCCUGGAUUCAGCGGCGGACGGGUGAGUAAUGCCUAGGAAUCUGCCUGGUAGUGGGGGAUAACGUCCGGAAACGGGCGCUAAUACCGCAUACGUCCUGAGGGAGAAAGUGGGGGAUCUUCGGACCUCACGCUAUCAGAUGAGCCUAGGUCGGAUUAGCUAGUUGGUGGGGUAAAGGCCUACCAAGGCGACGAUCCGUAACUGGUCUGAGAGGAUGAUCAGUCACACUGGAACUGAGACACGGUCCAGACUCCUACGGGAGGCAGCAGUGGGGAAUAUUGGACAAUGGGCGAAAGCCUGAUCCAGCCAUGCCGCGUGUGUGAAGAAGGUCUUCGGAUUGUAAAGCACUUUAAGUUGGGAGGAAGGGCAGUAAGUUAAUACCUUGCUGUUUUGACGUUACCAACAGAAUAAGCACCGGCUAACUUCGUG
rnacentral:rRNA from 1 species